CAAAACUCAAGAGGCAGCAGUAUAACAGCUUUUAGUUUAACCUGAGCUACAUAGCCAAUACCAGUAAAGUAUAAGUAACCAUACAAUGAGAUGUUGACAUUGAAUAAUUAUAACUAUUGGUCUGUUUCCUAUAGGCAAGAACUGUGAGACAGAUGUAGAUGAAUGUGAAUCCUGGCCUUGUUUCCCAGGUGUGGAGUGCAUCAAUGUCUUUGGUUCCUAUUAUUGUGGUCCAUGUCCAGAAGGGUUUCAUGGUGAUGGAAACACAUGUCAUGACUUGAGUUUUCAACCACCGUCAAAGGAACCUUUACUGACAAAACCAAGCUUUACUUGGAGUCCUGCAACAACUUUCAACAAAUUCUUACACUCAGCAGGCACAUCCCACUUGUCAAUAAAAUCAGUCACAACUCAAAUGGAUAAUACAAAGAAGGGUGGUGUUUCUCAUCAGACACCAGCUCAUGAGUAUGUGGAUCACGUUCUCAGUACAGAUCUAACUGUUGACGUGCUUGAAGUUCCGGCACCCAGUGGUCAUUUUUUAAGCACCAAUCCUAACAGUUCUUUUGGCCAGGUAGAUCCUGUCCAGAGCACUACUCCAACAGAGACCGGAGGGCAUAAUGCUCAAAUUAGCCAACCUUUCCAAAAUUUCUCUGGGCGAGAGUUUACAUCGUUUACAUCAUUGACAACUAAAGCAGCAAUUGCUGUUUUGCCAGGAAAGUCUACAUCAACCAAAAUGUCAAAUUGCACAGAAUCAUCUUGUUUCCUGGGUGUUUCCUGUAUGCCAACCGCAGAUGGUCACUUCAGGUGUGGUCGCUGCCCCUCUGGGUAUUACGGAGAUGGUGUCAUUUGCAGAGCAUUUUGUAGACACUCUUGUGGAAGAAACAGGGAAUGUGUUGCCCCAAACAUAUGCAAAUGUAAACCAGGUUACACUGGUUCCAACUGCCAAACUGCCAUCUGUCACCCUGCUUGCAAAAAGCAUGGAAAAUGCAUUAAGCCU
rnacentral:lncRNA from 1 species